CUCGUGUUAGGGGGUUACAUCCGGCUCAUAACCCGAAGGUCCUGGGUUCAAAUCCCAGCCCCGCUA
rnacentral:tRNA from 1 species